rnacentral:rRNA from 1 species
AAUCUCACUACAUUAGGAUCCUUCACAAAUGACUCUAUGUACCUUGCACUCUCGCAUUCGGAGAUUCCCGUGAAUAAUAAUGUGCUAAUCUGGAAUUCAAAUAUGCCACUAGAAAUUAAGAUUUCCAUGUGGUAUCUUCAAAGAGGAGUUGUGCUAACAAAAGACAACCUCUCUCGACGCAACUGGCAAGGAAGUAAGAAGUGUAGCUUUUGUACUCAUGACGAAACAAUUAAACACCUCUUCUUUCAAUGCAAGUUUGUGCAUUCUAUAUGCCAUUUAUCCAAAUAUCAUCCAAUUUGUAUCCGCCCACAAGUUUUGCCAAUAUAUAUGGUCACUGGCUUGCCGGUGUACCAAAUACUUUUAGUACGCUAA